GAUAAACGCUGGCGGCGUGCCUUAUGCAUGCAAGUCGAACGAGACCAAGGCUUCGGCCUGAAGUCUAGUGGCGGACGGGUGAGUAACACGUACGUGACCUGUCCGGAAGUGGGGAAUAACCAGCCGAAAGGUUGGCUAAUACCGCAUACGGUUACUGCUUGGAAGCAGCAAACCAAAGUCGCAAGACGCUUCCGGAGGGGCGUGGCGGCCGAUUAGCUUGUUGGUGUGGUAACGGCGCACCAAGGCGGUGAUCGGUAGCUGGUCUGAGAGGAUGGUCAGCCACACUGGGACU
rnacentral:rRNA from 1 species